CAAGAAGGUGACAUUUGAGCAAAGGCUUGAAGGAGAUGAUAGAGUGAGCGACAAUGGGACAAGCAGUACAGAGAGCCUAUGCUUUAACAGGAUCACUCUGGCUGCUGUUGAGAAGAGAUUAUGAGGUCAAGACUGAGAGCAAUAGACAAAUUAAGGGCUACUGAACCAGAAGUAGCAGCAGAUAUGGUACUCAGCAUUACCUGCAUGAAAUACGUCAAGGAAUAGCUGCUCUGUUAGCUAUGUAAUUGGGCACUGUAAUUCACUUGUCCUUUUCCUUCCUCCCUCUGACUCUUAACUACCCCAUCUUACUAAGACAAAGGCAAAUCAUAUAUGGGUCCAUUAAUUUGGACACAGAAAAAGUUGGAAGUCUGGCAUUUCUUCCAUUUACUUCGGACAGUGAUGGCUAACUUUCAGAGGUUCUUGUGCUCAUGUUGUUUAGCUGGAAGAGACAAAAUGAUCAUGCUGACUCAAAAGAUUGAAUGUGGGCCAAGGACCCAGGAGAAUGCUCAGAGUUCUGUGACCUCUCCGAAAUUACAGCAGUAUUUCAAUGUAUGAACAUGUUGGAAUUUUUCUGAAAAGUUUUAAACUUUCAGCCCUUUGAAAUUAUAUUCAGUAUUUUGAUGUAUAGACAUGUUUGAAUUCUUCUGAAAAGUUUUUAACUUUCUGUAUAUUUUCAAAUGUGUCCAUAAACCUGUAACAGUUAAUGCGUCUGGUUUGCAUGCCCUUACACACUCCUUUGUACAUAUUCAAAUUCCACACAUCUUCCAAAAUCAAAUCUCAUUGUUCAUGAACUUUCCGUAACUAUUCUGACUCACAAUGCAUACUUCCAUCUCAGAACUUGAAUGAAAAAAGUACAACUGUUGUAAGUGUCCCCAGAGAAAGUUAUUUGGUGUGUGAGAGAAAGGAAAUGAGGAUGGGAUGUGGUUAAGGGGUCAGGAAAGUCUUCCUGGGGAAGUGAUGCUGGAG
rnacentral:lncRNA from 1 species